CUACCAUGCAGUCGACGCUGAAGCCUGGUGCUUGCACUGGGUGGAUGAGUGGCGAACGGGUGAGUAACACGUGAGUAACCUGCCCCUGAUUUCGGGAUAAGCCUGGGAAACUGGGUCUAAUACCGGAUAUGACCUUCCCUCGCAUGGGGGUUGGUGGAAAGUUUUUCGAUUGGGGAUGGGCUCGCGGCCUAUCAGCUUGUUGGUGGGGUAAUGGCCUACCAAGGCGACGACGGGUAGCCGGCCUGAGAGGGCGACCGGCCACACUGGGACUGAGACACGGCCCAGACUCCUACGGGAGGCAGCAGUGGGGAAUAUUGCACAAUGGGGGAAACCCUGAUGCAGCGACGCAGCGUGCGGGAUGACGGCCUUCGGGUUGUAAACCGCUUUCAGCAGGGAAGAAGCGCAAGUGACGGUACCUGCAGAAGAAGUACCGGCUAACUACGUGCCAGCAGCCGCGGUAAUACGUAGGGUACGAGCGUUGUCCGGAAUUAUUGGGCGUAAAGAGCUCGUAGGUGGUUGGUCACGUCUGCUGUGGAAACGCAACGCUUAACGUUGCGCGUGCAGUGGGUACGGGCUGACUAGAGUGCAGUAGGGGAGUCUGGAAUUCCUGGUGUAGCGGUGAAAUGCGCAGAUAUCAGGAGGAACACCGGUGGCGAAGGCGGGACUCUGGGCUGUAACUGACACUGAGGAGCGAAAGCAUGGGGAGCGAACAGGAUUAGAUACCCUGGUAGUCCAUGCCGUAAACGUUGGGCACUAGGUGUGGGGGGCAUUCCACGUUCUCCGCGCCGUAGCUAACGCAUUAAGUGCCCCGCCUGGGGA
rnacentral:rRNA from 1 species